GUAGGAAGCCGCGGGGUGGUGGCGAGAGAGGACCCAGGCGUCCUGGCAGUGGGCGCCGCGGGGCACAGUCUGGGCCAAGGUGCAGGCGGCCAGGGUGGGAGACUGUUCGCCCCGCCCUGACUCCUCCUCUCUUGUUUCUCCAUCUGUCCAGGAGUUGGAGAUGUGCACCUAAAGGAGGCGCAUCUGGGGACGGACGCAUCUGGCACUGAGGCCCUCGCCACCUGCCUCUCCACCUACCGAGGCCCUGGCGACCCUGACCCCACCACGCUGCCUUGAGAGUCGCUCAAAAGUAGGGCCCCAGGGCUCGCAGCAGCAUGGGCACCGAGAAAGAAAGCCCAGAGCCCGACUGCCAGAAACAGUUCCAGGCUGCAGUGAGCGUCAUCCAGAACCUGCCCAAGAACGGUUCUUACCGCCCCUCCUAUGAAGAGAUGCUGCGAUUCUACAGUUACUACAAGCAGGCCACCAUGGGGCCCUGCCUGGUCCCCCGGCCCGGGUUCUGGGACCCCAUUGGACGAUAUAAGUGGUGAGCUCCCUGCUGGCUGGGCAAACAAGCCUCAGCUGUCAAGCAGCCCUCUCACAGCCCUCUGCCCCCAGGGACGCCUGGAACAGUCUGGGCAAGAUGAGUAGGGAAGAGGCCAUGUCUGCCUACAUCACUGAAAUGAAACUGGUGGCACAGAAGGUGAUCGACACAGUGCCCCUGGGUGAGGUGGCAGAGGACAUGUUUGCUUACUUCGAGCCCCUGUACCAGGUGAUCCCUGACAUGCCGAGGCCCCCAGAGACCUUCCUGAGAAGGGUCACAGGUUGGAAAGAGCAGGUUGUGAAUGGAGAUGUUGGGGCUGUUUCAGAGCCUCCCUGCCUCCCUAAGGAACCGGCACCCCCAAGCCCAG
rnacentral:sRNA from 1 species